rnacentral:rRNA from 1 species
GACGAACGCUGGCGGCGUGCUUAACACAUGCAAGUCGAACGGAAAGGCCCUGCUUUUGUGGGGUGCUCGAGUGGCGAACGGGUGAGUAACACGUGAGUAACCUGCCCUUGACUUUGGGAUAACUUCAGGAAACUGGGGCUAAUACCGGAUAGGAGCUCCUGCUGCAUGGUGGGGGUUGGAAAGUUUCGGCGGUUGGGGAUGGACUCGCGGCUUAUCAGCUUGUUGGUGGGGUAGUGGCUUACCAAGGCUUUGACGGGUAGCCGGCCUGAGAGGGUGACCGGCCACAUUGGGACUGAGAUACGGCCCAGACUCCUACGGGAGGCAGCAGUGGGGAAUAUUGCACAAUGGGCGGAAGCCUGAUGCAGCAACGCCGCGUGCGGGAUGACGGCCUUCGGGUUGUAAACCGCUUUCGCCUGUGACGAAGCGUGAGUGACGGUAAUGGGUAAAGAAGCACCGGCUAACUACGUGCCAGCAGCCGCGGUGAUACGUAGGGUGCGAGCGUUGUCCGGAUUUAUUGGGCGUAAAGGGCUCGUAGGUGGUUGAUCGCGUCGGAAGUGUAAUCUUGGGGCUUAACCCUGAGCGUGCUUUCGAUACGGGUUGACUUGAGGAGGGUAGGGGAGAAUGGAAUUCCUGGUGGAGCGGUGGAAUGCGCAGAUAUCAGGAGGAACACCAGUGGCGAAGGCGGUUCUCUGGGCCUUUCCUGACGCUGAGGAGCGAAAGCGUGGGGAGCGAACAGGCUUAGAUACUCUGGUAGUCCACGCUGUAAACGGUGGGUACUAGGUGUGGGGUCCAUUCCACGGGUUCCGUGCCGUAGCUAACGCUUUAAGUACCCCGCCUGGGGAGUACGGCCGCAAGGCUAAAACUCAAAGGAAUUGACGGGGCCCCGCACAAGCGGCGGAGCAUGCGGAUUAAUUCGAUGCAACGCGUAGAACCUUACCUGGGUUUGACAUGGAUCGGGAGUGCUCAGAGAUGGGUGUGCCUCUUUUGGGGUCGGUUCACAGGUGGUGCAUGGCUGUCGUCAGCUCGUGUCGUGAGAUGUUGGGUUAAGUCCCGCAACGAGCGCAACCCUUGUUCACUGUUGCCAGCACGUUAUGGUGGGGACUCAGUGGAGACCGCCGGGGUCAACUCGGAGGAAGGUGGGGAUGACGUCAAGUCAUCAUGCCCCUUAUGUCCAGGGCUUCACGCAUGCUACAAUGGCUGGUACAGAGAGUGGCGAGCCUGUGAGGGUGAGCGAAUCUCGGAAAGCCGGUCUCAGUUCGGAUUGGGGUCUGCAACUCGACCUCAUGAAGUCGGAGUCGCUAGUAAUCGCAGAUCAGCAACGCUGCGGUGAAUACGUUCCCGGGGCU